rnacentral:rRNA from 1 species
CACGUAGGGUGCAAGCGUUGUCCGGAAUCAUUGGCGUAAAGAGCUCGUAGGCGGCUUAGUAAGUCGGGUGUGAAAACCCCAGGCUCAACCUGGGGACGCCACCCGAUACUGCUAUAGCUAGAGUCCAGUAGGGGAGUGUGGAAUUCCCAGUGUAGCGGUGAAAGUGACGCAGAUAUUUGGGAGGAACACCAGCGGCGAAGGCGGCACUCUGGGCUGGUACUGACGCUGAGGAGCGAAAGCGUGGGUAGCGGAACAG